rnacentral:rRNA from 1 species
UACGUAGGGGGCAAGCGUUGUCCGGAUUUAUUGGGCGUAAAGAGCGUGUAGGCGGCCUGAAAGGUCAGCUGUGAAAACUCGAGGCUCAACCUCGAGACGUCGGUUGAAACCAUCUGGCUAGAGUCCGGAAGAGGAGAGUGGAAUUCCCGGUGUAGCGGUGAAAUGCGCAGAUAUCGGGAAGAACACCCGUGGCGAAGGCGGCUCUCGUGGGACGGUACUGACGCGUGAGACGCGAAAGCGUGGGGAGCGAACGAGG